rnacentral:rRNA from 1 species
UACGAAGGGGGCUAGCGUUGCUCGGAAUCACUGGGCGUAAAGGGUGCGUAGGCGGGUCUUUAAGUCAGGGGUGAAAUCCUGGAGCUCAACUCCAGAACUGCCUUUGAUACUGAGGAUCUUGAGUCCGGGAGAGGUGAGUGGAACUGCGAGUGUAGAGGUGAAAUUCGUAGAUAUUCGCAAGAACACCAGUGGCGAAGGCGGCUCACUGGACCGGAACUGACGCUGAGGCGCGAAAGCGUGGGGAGCAAACAGG